UACGGAGGGUGCGAGCGUUGUCCGGAAUCACUGGGCGUAAAGGGCGCGUAGGUGGCGCGACAAGUCAACGGUGAAAGCUCGGCGCUCAACGCCGAGUCGGCCGUCGAUACUGUUGGGCUUGAGCACUGUAGAGGCUAAUGGAAUUCCGGGUGUAGCGGUGAAAUGCGUAGAUAUUGGGAGGAACACCAGUGGCGAAGGCGGUUAGCUGGGCAGUAGCUGACACUGAGGCGCGGACAGCGUGGGGGAGCAAACAGG
rnacentral:rRNA from 1 species